ensembl:lncRNA
UGAAACUCGCCAGGAAAUUUCACAGCCGGAUUGCUCCUAGGAUGUGUUUCAUUUGCCGUGAGAUACUCAGUGGCGUGUGUGCACGUGUGCGCGCAUGAGCUACCGGAGGAGCGGCUGGUUGUUUCAGGUUUUGUGAAAGCCAUCAUAACGGGAGGAGGCCCAAACAGCCUGUGAUGAGUGAGGUGCAAGUGGAAAGGAACUGUGGCCGCCAGCCCUCAGCCUUAGCCAAACUCCCAGCUGCCAGCCAGCAGGAACCUGCCAGCCAUAAGUGAGCCAUCUUGAAAGCGCAUCCUUCAGCCCCAGUCAAGCCAUCUCAGCUGGCGCUGUGUGGCACAAAGAUGAACCAUCCUUGUUCAUCCCUACCUACAAUGCAGGUUUUAGAUUUGGGGCUGGCCCCGUGGCCGAGCGGUUAAGUUCGCGCGCUUGCUGCAGGCGGCCCAGUGUUUCGUUGGUUCGAAUCCUGGGCGCGGACAUGACACUGCUCAUCAAACCACGCUGAGGCAGCGUCCCACAUGCCACAACUAGAAGGACCCACAACAAAGAAUAUACAACUAUGUACUGGGGGGCUUUGGGGAGAAAAAAAAAGGAAAAAAUAAAAUCUUUAAAAAAAAAAUGGUUUUAGAUUUUAGAUGGCUAUAUAUUUCUUUCCUACUGAAAAUUUAUACUUUAUUUUACAAACACACUAAAAUCAAAUAUAUUUUAUUCAGCAUAAUAAUGCUAAGAUCAUAUAUAUAGAAAAGAUAUAUUUUCUCUUUUUAAUCUUGAUGAGUAGCGUUUGUUUACCUGCAGCCCUCUCUUCUUACAAAUAAAUUGCUUUUAAAGUUGAUGAUGGUCCAAACACUUAAAUUCACUGCAAGACUCAUACUAAUAACAUAAUUAAAAAAAUUAUUAUUUUAAGUGAAAUAGCUGUUAUGAAAUUAGGACUUUUACAUAAUGUUACAAUGAAAUAGAAGACCUGAGUUUUGGACUUGAAAUUACAAACCACAGUUUUAGAGAAGAAAGGGCUUCUGAGUUGACUUCGGGUCCAGCUUCCUUAUUUGAUGGAUGAGGAAACUGAGGCAGGGAGAAAUGACAUGAGUAUCUCUGAGUUUCACAUUAAUUUGCACUAGAAUUCAGGGUUCCAGUGAUUUCUUUGAUCAUAACCAUGUUCCUGGAGAGGACUGUCUUUGAGAGAUGAUACGGAGGAAGGUGACAUGUAGACUAUUUACCUACACAUCUUCACAUACAAAAUAAAAUGUGGUCUAUUUUUGUUUUCGCAAUUAUGUGAGGCACCUUUUGAUUUCUGCAUCAUAACCCCAUGGCUAAAGCUGCUUGGUGACCAUCUCGAAAGGAAGCACAAAAUCGCCAAUGCUAUUCUUCCCAUCUAGAAUUUCAUCAUAGAAUUCCACUAGAGGGAAAUCUAUGAAGAGUUCACUGAAAACUGAAGAGCUUCUAGGAUUAAACUAGCAAAGUAUGUUUAGUUCAUCUUGUAGUAUUUUUUAGAUUAAAAUCAGUGGAACAUUUACAUUAAAAGGUAUCUCAGGUUUUACCAAACCCACUAUGCUUGCAAAAAAAAAAAUCUAUCAAAUAGUCCAUCUCUAGAUUCUAGAGCUUAGAAGUCAAGAGAGAACAGUGAGAGGAAAAUGAUCUUAUAGACACGGCUUUGGGGUGGUGUGGUGCUAAUGGUGAUUUCAUUGCAGUGGGCAGGCAUCCAAGGGUAUUCUGGGCAAGUCUUAUUUUCCAAGGCAUGUUCUAGUUCUAUGAAAGCACCAUAGCAAAUUUUUUUUGAGAUAUAUUUGAGACUGGACUCUGGCGUUGAGUCUUUCUGAGUAUGUGGCAGCAUAAUGACAUAUUAUCUGGGAUUUUAGGCUCCCCUUUGACGUGCAAGUGAUCAAAUCUACCAUUUCCACUAGAUGGCAUUAGAAACUUCUGAAGCCAUGAACUAAUUACUAGUCACCUUUGUUAGGCUGUAAAUUACACUUGCAUGUUUUAGGAGGUAAUUGACAAUUGGCUUUCUGGUGCAUUUUAACUCUGAUGCCAGGCACAUGGUUAAGAUAGUGGUAUCAGAUCUCUCCCGUGACAUAAAUAGCUCCUGGGAUUGUUAGAAUGUCAUUCCAAGUCUCACAUUUCAAGGAAGCGUUUUGAAAGCAGCAUAUACCGUCACCCCACCGUAAAUCAAAAUCAAGUCACACUACCUCCUCCUAUCCUGGCUAGGCCAUCAAUUUAGAGCGAACAUAUUAGGUGAAAAAGGUAAAGCAAAACUUUUGUUUUCCCAGCAUUCAGAAGAAUUUUUGUUUGUUUGUUUCUUUUGAAUGCGAUGCUGUGUUUCAAGCAUGAGGGAGCCAAAAAAUAAUCUGCAGAUUUGUCAGCUUCUUCCAGCGGUUGUUACAGAGGAACUGUGAGGGUUUUUAAAUUAUAAAUGAAAAUUUACAGUGCCUAGAAUGGGUGCGUGUCCCAGUAUUUCUGAAAAGUCUCUGCUACUUUAGAUUCUCUGUCUAGCUAAGCCAAGAAACAGUAGGUUUGGGGGGUGUGUGCGCUUGUAUGUAUCUUUUUCUUUUCUCGCAGUGGUGUGUCUCUGUGGCUGCCCCCACUGCUGCUGCCUGCUUCCUAGCCUGGCUUUCAUCAUUUCUUCCUGUUGAUUGGUGUCACCUCACAUGCUUAGAAUGUCUGCCUGUCUGUUCAGAGUGUGAACACAUUCCUCAGAAUGCUGAUCUGCUCGUUUCACACCAGUGUCAAAACGACUUAUUAAAUUCAGCACCUCCUGAUACUCAGUGGCUGAUGUGUUGCUGUCCAAACAGUAAAUGACAAUAAGCAUAUGCAGCUGGUGGGCCUAGCAAACUCAUUUAAUUUGAUAAAAAUGUCACUGCAACAUGCUUUAAAUCGCUGUCCUUUUCAUCAUUGCUAAUUGCUAGCUAUAGACCUUUUUCCUAUGCUUAAUACAAGUGUUAGAAUACUGCUCCUUCCAGCCUGAUUAAGAAUUAAAAAAAAAAAUGUAGAAUUCCUUUUCAGUGGCAGCAUUAUUUCAUCAAGAGAUGGAUUUUGCUCUUAAUUAGCCAACAUGCCACUAGGGAAGCUUCAGAGUCCUGGGUGUGAAACAGCCUCAAGCAGGAGAUCAAUCUAAAGGAAAAAAAUGGUGGCUGGGGAAUAAUUGGCAGCUCCGGUGAACGUGGGCUGGUUAUAACAGUGACAAUAUGUUCCAGUGGAAUAUCACAAACCUCUCUCCCUUAUUUCCAACUUGGCACAUUUCAAACUCAACAAAAGCUGAACAAUGUAUCCCUUGGUUAUUUGUCUAUUGUCUUGUAUUUUUAUCUUGCUGCUUCAUUGAGGUUUUCUCGUGUGUUGAGUUGACAAUCUGGACAUUUCCCCCGAAUGGAUUAGGGGAUUAAGAAGGAAUACGAAUUCUAAAAAUAAUAAUCCUUCAGUAGCUUGGUGCUUAAAAACAGAUCUGGGACUGAUCCAUAUACCAGAAAACAGGCAAACCUGUACUAAUUUGCUAAACCCAAAUGUUGAUUUAAAAAGCACACAUGCACACACACUCAUAAAUUGAACUCAAACUUCUUUUGAAGGAUGCCUACCAGAUUGAAUAGGAACUGACUCCAAAAAACUUUCAGUCAAAACAAAAUUGCAACAUAAAAUUUUUUCCCAAGUGAGCUGAUAUUUAAUUUGGUUCAAAUUCCUGUUUUUUUUUUCCUUUAAAAAUAAGCUUUGUGUGUGGAGCUUCACUCCUGGGGCCACGCAGCCCCCCAGCCCUCUGCCCACCCAUUAGCACCUCCUCCCAGCACGAGGUUUUCUCUGGGGUCUGACUUGUGCAAAAUGGGCUGAACAAAGACAAGAACUCUGCCCUUGCUUCUGGUAUUCUUGCAUUUUAGAGCUUGGCAGCCUUUCUGCUUCCCUCCACUAAACAUGGAGCAUGGAUCCUGUAUUAUUCCCUAUUUUAUUUAUGUGGUUGAAUGUAUUUCCUAACGUUGUUCAUGAUAGAAAACAUCACAAUCAUUUUGGUGUCAGUUCCAAGUGAUCUCCCCAUAGUCGUCUCCCCAUAGUCUUCCUGCCUUGAUUGGCCAGUCUAAAUAGAGUCAGUUGAAGACAUGGGUAACCUAACCUGAAAUAAAAUUUUGCUUUGGUUCCUACUCUACAUCUAGAGUUAAGAAGUACAUUUUGGUCACCAGACAGUCUCAGGCUGUGAAAGGCUGUUUCGUUUUCUCUUCUCUUCGUAUGCUCUUGGUGCCUUUACCGCUGGCGUGUACAGGAAGAAAACGUCUUUCCAGGAAGGCCACGGAGGCUCUUUAAGCUUCACCAGAGCAAUGCUGAACAGUAAGCCUCUAACUCUCCCAGACCAAUCUUGGUCCACCUGGCAGUUCCAUGUGAGGAGCGACCAAAGGCUCUGUGUCCUGAUUAACAGGAGGGAGUGUCAUCAACCAUAUUAAAGUCCCUGGAAACUGGCUUUUGUGGGUGUUGAUGGGGGUGCAUGUCCCAUACCUGGCAGGCACGUGGUGAAAGGCAAGCCUGAGGCCCCACGGGUUGACAUGCUGGGCCACAGAGACCCCAUCCAGGUUUUCCACCCCUCACAGAACUUCCCCCGUCCCAGCUGCGAUUCCACUUUACAUAUCAGUGCCUUACAGAAUCCAUUUCCAAAUAGGUUUGGAGCCAAUUUUUGAAAAUUUCAGCUCAGUAAGGGAAAUCAUACUUACAUCAUCCUGAUUUAGAACUCUAGGCCUUCUAAGUUUGGCUCAUCUUAACACUAGCUUUCAUUUAUUGACUGGCAGAGACUCUUCUAGAAUUACUAUAUUCCCUGAAACAAGCUAGAACGUAGUUUUCAUUGGCCACAUAAAAUACAAGUUUUCUUUUCUCAUGCAUAAGCAAUAUAUAAAUACUGUCUGUUCUGAACUAUUUAAGUUAUAGGAUCCCCUUUCACUCUCCCCGGCCCAGUCCAGGCCAGCUCCCAGAGAAGAAAGACCACCCUCAUGCCUUGGUGUGUGCGUAUUAGUCUAUUCUUUUCUGCUCUCUCACAUAUAUGUCUGUGGGGCUGGGGAAAUCAUCCAGUGUUGUUUCGGUGGCUUCUUUUUCCAAACACGAAUGCUAUCACCCUAUAUGCACCAUUCCACAGCUUUCUCUUUUAACUGAAUAAUGUAUCUGAGAGCUAGCCAAGUUGUUCUAUGAGACUGGUUAUUCCUUCGAAGAACUGCAUGGGCUGCCAUAAAAUAAAAAGAGCAGAGUUUGUUUAGCAGUUUCUCUUUAUUUCAUAGAUGAGAAAAUGGAGGUCCAGAGAAGUUAAGUGACUUAUCCAAAGUCACCCAGCUACUAAGUGCUGGAGCGUGGGUGAGAACACAGGCUGGGUUGAUUGUCCAACACGCGUGGAUCUUUCUCUAAUGUCAAGUUCCCGCUGUGAUGCUGCCUUCUUUCUCCCCUCUCUGCACUUCUCUCUCACCUGCUUUUCUCUUGAAGCUACUUUGGGCUGUAGUUCCACAUUUCUGAUAUGAAUCUCCCAAUUCUUAGGACCAGAUCUACACCAACCUAGAAAGUACACCAGGAUGAACAAAUGUUUUGAAAAACAUUUUACACAGGCAUGAAGUGCCUUUCAGCAAUUUAAUAUUUGAUUUGAUUUGAUUUUGCCAAUGAAAUGGUUUUGUAAACCCUUGGGCUAUCUUAAUCCUACCUAUCUUGUAAAGACUUUUCCCGAGCAGAUUCACUUCCCAUGGUCAAUAAGAAAGCGUGUAGGAGGGCCGUGGGCAGCAAUUGCUUGGGAAAUACUGCCCUCACAAACACAAAUAUGGCGAUCACAAUGGUUCCUAAACAAAUGUUGAAGGCAGUAUUGUGGGUCAACAGGAGUUGCUGUUUUUGGAAUGGCUGCAACAUCAGAAUGGGGAGGAUAGGCUCAGGAACUCAGUUGCUUUAUGAACAAACGUGCCUUUAUCCUCCCUUAAAGACUUUCAUAGAAUUUGGGACUCAGUGGCUAAUUCUAAAGAGGAUCCAUUCUUGAAAACCAUCCAUUUAACGCAGCAGUUUGAGAAGACAUCAAUAAAUAGGAAUGGGUGAACUAUCUCAGAAAAAAAAAAUUGUAGUUAAAAAAAGUCCUGUUUGUAAAUUCUGCUUCCCCAUGGAAUGCACUAAUUUUUGUAUCUCAGUACCAAGAUUUGGAACUUCACAUAGAUGUAUUUGAACAUAAAAUUUUAAAGCUGUUGUUGCUCUGGCUAUGAGCUACAGACACCCCCCCGUCGACCACCUGGCUAGUUUUCUGAGAGUUUCUGCGGGAAAGGUUUACAAUGGCUGGUUCCUGGUUUGAUGUCAUAUCGAUAAAUUAUGGUGCUUUAAACAGAUGUGAUCUCACAGCGUGGAAUCCUUCAGGGUAAAGCUCAUGAAAAGGUUUCUUUCCUCCCUCGGUUUCAUGGUAGUUUUGUUGUUUGGAGGUUUUAUGUUGUUCAUUUAGUUCCCUGGCUAUUGGGGUUUUAUAGUCGUAUUUCCUUUGUUUAAUAUAAUUUCCUUUUUUCUUUUAGCUAUUUUUGUUAGGGUGCCCAGAGGCUUCAGUUAUGAGUGGCUGUAAAGUAAAAUAUAUUAUGAUUAUUACAAUGAUAAAGUAUAAGCUUUUAAGAGUCUGCUUAUAUUGACCCAUAUAUUCUGUUUCUCCCUCUCUCUGAGAUACACACAGAGGCACACUGGAAAUGCAAUAGAACAACGGCUGCCAAUUUAAAAGCAGAAGUUAAGAAGAGCAAACCCGAAUGUACAGCGAGAGAGCUUCGGGCUGGAUUGGCUCCCGGCAGAAGCGAGACUGGAAAUCUUGGAUUCUGUUGCCUCUUCUCUCCUCUGUGAUGUGGAAGAAGAUGUCAGCACCUGGGUGUGGACUUGGUCAUUAACGCUUAUUUCCCAACCUUUGCCAAGCUGCCUAACUCCCUGGAGUCUUAGUUUUCUCAUGUGUGGGAGACAAUGUGUUCUUUAUCCUGAAGUCAUUGUGAGGACUGAGUGAGAGGAUGUAUGUGGAAGGAAGCACCAAGCGUGGUUCCUGGUAUAUACUAGGUACUCAAUAAAUGUGGACUAGCGUGAAUAUGAACUCCACUCACUUCGUGCCCCCUCAUGCUGGCUGGUCCCCGGUGCUCUGGGCUUCCCAAGUCAUGGCAGUUUUCCCAAAGUGGCCCCUAAAGUCAUGUCAGUCCUUGGGGCCUCAUUACUUAGGUUUCCUGUGCCAUCUGCUCCCUUCCAGUCAUAGAUUCCAUGCUCUGUUCUGACAGAAGCUUGCUUCUGCUGGCUGUCACACUUAAAAAGUGGCGGAUGACCAUUCGAGCGUUAGAUGAUAAUGAUUUAUGAACACCAUCCCUCCAGACAGCAUUUGCAGUAUUACAAGUUUUGCUUUUAUUUUAUUUGUCACUAGGAAGGCACUGAGAACAAAAGGAAACUCUCUCGAAUGGUGGGAUCGAGGCACUGUAGCACAUUUUUUAUGGAGGGGAAGGAGGCUUUUCGCCUGGAAACCUUUCAAAUCACGCCCUAUAAGUAGCUCACGAGUCUCUCUACUCACACUGAUCUCUUCAUCUGCUGAGUUGAACAGUGUCCCCCAAAUUCAUGGCCACCCGGGACCUGUGAAUGUGACCUUAUUUGGAAAUAGGGUCAUUGCAGAUAUACUCAAAUUAAGACGAGGCCAUAUUGGAUUAGGGGGAGCCCUAAAUUCAAUAUGACUGGAGUCUUUAUAAGAAGAGGAAAAUUUGGCCACAGAGAUAUAGACCUACGGGGUAUCAGGCCCUGUGAAGACAGAGUCAGACAUUGGAACGAGGUGUCAAGUCAAGGAUCAACAAGGAUUGCUGACAACCAGCGCAAGACGGAAGAGGCAAGGAAGGACUCUUCCUUAGAGACUUCAGAAGGAACAGGCCCUGCCAACACCUUGACUGUGGACUUCUAGCCUCCAGAACUUUGAGGGAAUAAAUUUCUGUUGUUUCAAGCUGCCCAGUCUGUGGUGCCCCAGGAAACUAACACUGUGACUCAGCAGGCUGUUUGCUGACUGUGCAGGAUUAGCCCAGUGGGUCCGGCAACUGGGAGGGGUCGCAGGGAGAUUUCGAUGGUAGGCAAGUGAUGAUGGAGUGGAGAGCACGAGGUGUGUGCUCUCCAACUGGAGGAAGGGCGUGUGUAGGCUGUGGGGAAGGACAGUAGGACAGAUGUUGCUGAGUGAGUGACUACCUCUGUUUAAAGAGAGAGCGCUUCGCUUUACAAAAGGAAUGCUCUCUUAAAAUACUCCACGUGAGCUAACUUGGCCUUGAAUUUCUAGGAGGGACUGAAGUUCGAAAGGAUCAAUGACAUUUCAAGACACUCUAAGUCUGUUUACAAAACGAAAAAUCUACUCCCCUUCCCAGUUGGGGAUAUUUUUUAUUUUGUAAGUGUCUAUCCUGAUGCUUGUGAAAGUGAGGGCUUCCUGAAAGGCAAGCGAGAGCCCAAGGAGGUUUGGGAGAGUGAAGGGAGGCCGACUUUUUCUCAUUUUUUACAGGGAAAAAAAAAAUCAUACAACUCUGCUAAUUUAAGAAUUUGAGAAUGAUCUCUUUAGACACGAUAAUUUAUUUCUGAAUGUUAAGGAAUGGAAUUUAGCAAGAAGAGCCUAUUGUGUGUCAAAAUAGAGGAGGUCCUUACUCCAUCAUUUGAAAUAGCAGAGAAAAACAUUGUUGUUGAACCAUCUACUCAAUAAACAUUUUCCAAGUGCCUGCUGCAUGGUAGACACUCCAUUGGGCACCCGGGGAGAAAGAUACCAAUAAUCUUGAUCCUGGCCCUCAAUGGCAUUGCGGAGGGGAUACACAGGCUUAUAAAUAUGUAAUAAUAGCAAUACUAAUGCUUCUGAAUGCCCACAAAAUGCCAGGCCCCAGGCCAAAUGCUUUACAGCCAAGAGAGCAUCAUUUAUUCCCCAACAACCCUGGAAGUAGGUUUUGUUACUGGUCCCAUUUUGCAGAUGAGGAAAUAGGCUUGGAGAGGCUGAGAAACUUGUCUAGUGUCAUUCAACUAACGAGGUGGGGAAGCUGCAAUUCACACCUGGGGCUGGGGCCCUAAAGGCUCCCCUCUUCACCACUUUGAGUGGCUGAGAUGUAGGUGUUGCAUGGCCUCAAGAGUCAGACUCCCUGGGAUUGACUCUCAUACCCAUCUGCUGCUAAUUGUGCCCUUGAACACAUUACCUCACUGCUUGGCUCCUCAGAGGAGGCUAAUGGCAGUACCCGCCUUGUAGGGUUGUCGUGAGAACUAAAUGAUCUCAUAUGAGCAAAGUGUUCAAUGCAGCACCUGACACGAUGGGGACCGUCAUGAAACAUCAGUUUUUGUUACUACAUGCUGGUGGGGCUACCGUGGGGGUGUAACCGGAGAGCUGAGGAGCAAGAGGAGCGCCCAGAUGAGGCUCUGCCCCCUCCUGCGUGGAGCUUUGGGUCUGGUCCAGGCUUGGAUCUCUUUUGAGUUCAAAGGGAGACUUGUGUGUGAGGGAAGCUUUGGGACUGUGGGUGGUGGGGGAGGCGAGGAGCAAACACCAGGGGAUUGACUUUCACAGAAUCUCAUUUAAAAAGUGAUAGCUAGUGGUUUCAGUCUAUUUAAGUGUAUUCCGCCAUAGUAUUUGCCAUAUCGACCACAAUCAAGGAGGUGGGAGUGGAGGUGUACAGGAAAGUUCCCUAGGCAAAAGUUCCUCCAGUUUGAGUAGGUUAGGGAAUUAAGGGUCUUUUCCAAAUACAAGUGCAUUUGGGAGCAGUAGGACAGUUGCUUCUGCUAGUUGGGAAUGUUUUACCUCAGAUCAUUUGAACACAUGAGUACCAGCAGAAAGCUGGGUUCUGAGAAAAUGGCAGGUAAAUUUACAGGAUAGGUAAAUUGAUGGGGACUGGGGUGAGUCUAAAGCUACCUGGUCCUGGUGGCAUUUUGAAGUGCAGAGGCUUGAACUUGAAUCGAGGGCUUGGCUAACCCCUAUGGAACCUUCAAACUUUGGCUCAAAUAUCACCUCCUCUAGGAAGCCUUCUCUGAUCCCCCCAGAGCUCCUCAUCUGUGCUCUCCUCCCACAAUCUGAACACCUCGAGUGCCGUGCUCGCGGUCCUUUGUUGGAGUGAUUCCUUGAGGAGGCGGCUCUCUUACUCCACCCCCCGUCGUACUUCUAUCAGCUUGGAAGCAGCACAUGACUGGAAAAACCGCAAACCUUUCUUGGAAGCAAAGUAAACCUGGCUGGCCUGGGUUCAGGAGAGGGAAGAGACAUUGAUUCAUCUUUCCUACCGUCCAAAAAAAGAAGAAGGAGAUCAAUGGAGCUUUGGCAAGAUCCGCUGGGAGGAGAAUCUGCACUGUCAAGGCCAACAGGGCCACCCAUUAUCUCCUUAACACGCUCUUCCAACAUGGUGGGCAAUUGGGGAAUUUUACACAAACGCUUCAGAUCAGCUGUAUUGUCUGGGGCCAGCUCUACCACCUGUGCCUGAGAUGUUGAAAAUGAUUCUUCUAAAUAUCUUCUCAGGCAGCUUUGGGAUGAUUUCCAACUUGAGAAAAGAAGUUGAGUGUAGAAAAUUGCCUUCUUCUUCUUCUUUUUUUUUUAAGGACAUACUAUUCCACGUUGGCGUAGACAGGCUGUAAAGGUAUAGAUUUUGUUUGAAAUUUCUCUUCAGUGGAGAAGAGCAUCCUUGCUCUGUGUUGGCAGAAAGAGUCCUUUCCUUAAUCUAAGCCAAGGCACAGCCACAAAGCCGGCCGACAGGUAUAAUGUGUUUGGAAUGUAUUGUUGUUUGUUACCAGGAGGGCUUAGAGCCCACAACUCACCCCAAACAAGCGCUUGGACUACAAAGGGCUGUAAAUCUAAACUCACUCAAUUUCUCUUUCUUAGGGCUCACCCCUCUUUGCAGAUGGCUUCCUCCUCUGACUUGUUACUGUCACCUGAUUCUUUGAUGGAGACUAAAAAAAAAAAAAAGCCUGAAUGAAUUGGAGCUUUGGAGCCCCCACAUGGUGAACCACUAUAAGGGGGUGGGUGCAGGGCCCUGUGCAUCCGGGUUAGAUCUGCUGGCUCGUAGCUGGAGAGUUGUUUCCUGAGUUUGGGGGAAGGCAGAGUGCCAUGGUGUCAAGAAUGUGGACUUGGGAGCAGAUAGACUUGGAUUCAAAUUCCACUUCUACCGCUUACUAAUUGAGGGACUUCAGCCCUCGCAUAGUUCUCUUUCUCAUUAUUUUCUCUUCUUGAAUGGGUAAUACUUUUACAAAUUUGAAAAUUUUUUAAAUAUAAAAACGUAUAUGCUUAUCAUCUUGUUCUCUCCUCUGUUCCUAUCCAUCUUGCUCCCCUCUUCCCUCAUCCCUCUAGGCAACCAUUGUUAUUAGACUCUUAUUGUUUCUUCUGGUGGUUUUUAAUGAAAAUAUAGCAAAAAUAUGAAUAUAUAUUAUUAUUUUCCUUCCUUUCUUACCCAAAAGCAAUCAUACUUUAUAUACUGUCUUGAAACAGUUUUAAAAAUUUUUUUCAUUUAAUAUCAGAACAUAAAGAUCUUCCUCAUUUUUUAUAGCUGCAUAGUAUUCCCUGGUUUGGAUGUACCAUCGUUUAUUCAACCAGUCUUUUGCCAUUUGAAUAAUGCCACAGUGAACGACAUGAUGUGCAUGUCCUAUGUGUGCUGUAUGCCUGUAGGAAUAUCUUUGCUGGGGCAAAGGAAAAACGCAUUUGUAGCUUUAGUAGUUCUUGCACUGUGUGUUUCUGACUCAGAAUUUGUUUUAAUGGAAUGGUGGUUGGAAUGUUGCUGUCAUUUCACAUUAAAGAGUAUUUUAAGAUAGAGUUCUAUGCAAUUUAUUAUUGUAUUUACUUCCAGGUACACAAUGCAGUGGUCGAGAGCGCGGACUCUAGAGUUGGACGGUCCUCUGUUUGAAUCUUAGCUUUGCCACUUACUGGACGUGCCACAUCAGGCCGGUUGGUUACUGUUUUUGACUCUCAGUUUCCAUCAAGUGUAAAAUGCCCAUUAGCUGGUUGUGAGGAUUAAAUGAAGCCAUGGAUGCAAAGUGCUUAGCACAGAAAAGCAAUCAACAAUAGUAGCUAUUAAUUGCCAUUAGGCAGAAAGCUUCCAGUCUGUCUGUUAAUCUUUUAGCCUCCAGGGUCUGGAACAGAGUUAGUCUCUUAGUAGUUUCUCAGUAAAUAUUUAUUGAUUGAAUACUGUAGGGACGCCAUUGAAGAUGUUAUCACUUCCUUCAGUCCAUGUCUUCUUCAUGAGGAGAAAUCUCUGUCUGUUCUUUCUCAAGAUUAACUGUACUUUUAAACAAGCAGUUUAAUUUUCUUCUGUGGACACUGUGCAUUGUGUAAUGGCUCAUGUUUCCCUCUUUUCACCUUGGCUGCUAGGAGUCUCAGAACCCAAUUUUCUAUUCUCCUCUUAAGUGGUAUCCAGACUUUUAGGGAAGUUGUGUGGCAAACCAGUGUUUCUCAAACUUGGCCAUACAGUAGAAUCAGCUGGGCACUUAAAAAAUUCCUGAUAGCCCAGUCACACUGAAUACCAAUUAAGUCGGGAUCUCUGGGGGUGGGACUCAGGCAUGAGUACUUUUCACAGCUCCUCAGGGGUUCUAACACAUGGACAAGGUGGAGAACAGGUAUUCUAAAGUAACCUUGCCACUAGCUUUAUCUCAUUUUCCUAUCCUUAUUUUUCUUUCACGGUAGUAAAAAUUAUUUCUCUUGUCCUCUCCAUUUGUCCCUUCACCUUCCAUGUGGAAAGUAAUAGAUGGCUUCUUUCAAGUCAUCAACAACAUGAUGGUGAAGGGAAUGGAAAAGGAAAUCAGGCCUCUCUCCAGAGAAAAAUUCAUUUAUUCACUUAUGAGUGCAUCAUUCAUUUACAUUCAGCAAGUAUUUAUGAAGUGCUUUGGGCUCAGCUCCCUGUUGUGAGGAUGGGAAAAACCUCUAUGUUUGGCGAAAAUAACGUCUAAGAGAGACUCUUCUUAGCAAAUACGUUUUUUGGGUCUAUGAUAAUUUCAGGUUGUCUAAUAGGAGCUGUGCUUCUGACAUUUCUUUUGCCUUCCAGGGAGGAUCUUGGCAUUUACCCAGAGAAACAUCCUAACUGUCCACAGCGGGGCGUGGUAAAGAACCGACAACGUGUCAGUCACUAGAAGGCGUCUUGGCCCCAGGAAAGCUAAGUAUUUGGAUGAUGAGGCAUAGAGUGGAUUUGGGCUUAUGUCUUUCAUCACUUGGCUGAGUCCUUUGUCAGAUGAAAAGGCAGCAGCUGAGGGCAUUAGUGAAACAAUCGUCGGCCUAAGCUCCCUGUGAGAGCUGCAGACUCAGGUGCAGAGGGCUGGCGGUCCAGGUGUGGGCUGGCUACGGCGGCAGCGAGCCUCAUCAACAUAGACCCACUGUGCUCGGAGUCCAUCUCCCGCUGGCCGUGGCCAAGAUGCAUCCUGGCUGCAUGCAGCCCCAGGGAAGGAUCCUCCAAAAGCAACAGGCCUUGGUCAGCAGUGAGCCAAGGAGGGACAAGCGAAGCAAAGAGGCCCCGGCAGGCCCCUGGUGACAGGGUUAUCUGGAGAGUCACUGACACGUCUCUAGUUGGCAAGAGCCCUUUAUAGAACAAAGACAAGUGAGGGUGAGGAAGCCACGCCUCAGUGUAUUCACAGACGAAGUCCGGCAUCCUGGUAUCACUUAUGUCAUCAGAAGUGCGUAGAUUCCAGGCUGUAGGGCUGUUUUUGUUCAAUAGGUGGAAACAAAGAUUCAUGAACCAUCUUGAAAUUGUUGCUGAAUUCAGGGGCGGAGGACAAUUUGGACUUCUUAUCCGAAGAUGGAACCCCCUGUUGAUUUUGUGGGCUUGGCUGUCUCAACGGCAGGCAGUGCGGGAGUAGAAGCAAGCCAGCGGCGGUGGCCACACCUCCGCUGGGUCGUGCCUUCGCAGCAGGCAUUCCUGCCAAGCAAUAACAUUCUGCCCUGGGAUCACC